AUAUGUUUAACUUUUAAGUGUAUACACCGUAGAAAAAUAAAACAUAUUUACACAAGAAUAGAUUUGAUACUCCGGCCAUGACGUCACAUUUGUUGUUUUUAAUUUAGAUGAGGAAAUGGAAAUACCUUGAAUAAAGUUUCAUGGAUAUAAUUUCGUACUCAUAGUAACUAACGAUAUGUAAAAUAUGGAUUUUAUUCCUAGCCCAAACUUUGAAUUGAAAGCCUUACUAUAGCAAGAAAACCCAUACAAAAUGGAGCAAUUCAGUUAUACAUAUAACUCCGUUCCUCAGCUGAAUUUAUGGUGCAGAUUAUCGAUUUCACCGCCUCUAUGGUUUAUAUGGUGAAUACAAGUCGUUAUUUUGUACAAGUUGUAGCUUGUACAAGAGGAUUAUGGUUCAUAAAACGGUUUCGUAACAAACGAUUUUUGUGUUUUGUAGACAAUCAGAUUUGCCAUUCGUCCCAUGAAUUGAUUUGGUCUCUUUCACACUGGAAUAUAUAUAUGUAUAUAAUACAGAUUGCCUGAUACAUGCACCAACUACAAUACAACUUAAAAUUACCAUAUUACCAGAAUAUCCAAGUCUUCAAUGGAAUGCUUUUGGGCCAUAGAUACUUCCAAAUAUUAGUUAUACACUAUUUGGAUUUUUUAGCACAUUAAAUUCUCAUAAGUGGUCAUCCAGGACAAAUUAACUGCCUUAUGCAAUCUCCCUUUCCCUUCUAAUUUUUAAUAGUAGAUGAUGAACAAAAAAUUUUGCUAGGCAGAAAAAUAGAGAAAAGGAGGAAAAUUCAAAAGUUUAUUCUUGUAUAUAAAUUGUGAUGUCUGUACGAGUUGCAACUUGUAUAAAUAGAUUGUACAAGUUUGGGCAUUGAAACUUUCCA
rnacentral:lncRNA from 1 species